rnacentral:ncRNA from 1 species
AAGGUAUAUCCGAAAAGCCUAAAAAAGAGUAGGAA